GACGAACGCUGGCGGCGUGCCUAAUACAUGCAAGUUGAGCGCUGAAGGUUGGUACUUGUACCAACUGGAUGAGCAGCGAACGGGUGAGUAACGCGUGGGGAAUCUGCCUUUGAGCGGGGGACAACAUUUGGAAACGAAUGCUAAUACCGCAUAAUACCUUUAACCACAAGUUUCAAGUUUGAAAGAUGCAAUUCCAUAACUCAUAGAGGAUCCCGCGUUGUAUUAGCUGGUUGGGGAGGUAAAGGCCCACCAAGGCGUCGAUACCUAGCCGACCUGAGAGGGUGGUCGGCCACAAUGGGAAUGGGACACGGCCCAAACUCCUACGGGAAGCAGCAGUAGGGAAUCUUCGGCAAUGGACGAAAGUCUGACCGAGCAACGCCGCGUGAGUGAAGAAGGUUUUCGGAUCGUAAAACUCUGUUGGUAGGGAAGAACGUUGGUGAGAGUGGAAAGCUCAUCAAGUGACGGUAACUACCCAGAAAGGGACGGCUAACUACGUG
rnacentral:rRNA from 1 species